CCUGACAAGCUAAUGCAACGGUUGGAUUUAUUCCAUUUCAGGGUUAGACUAAUGGCAAUCGGUGAAAACGUUUUCUGGAAAUCAGGUCAGGAAGGCAAGCGGAUGUGACUAGGAGACGCCAGAGAGAAGCGCUAUUGAAACUUGAAUCCUCAAAGCCUGGUUUGUGG